rnacentral:tRNA from 1 species
GCGCUAGUAGUGUAGGGCACUCAGAGAGGACUGUAUUCUAACAGCUUGCGACCCGGGUUCGAGUCCCGGCUAGCGCA